rnacentral:rRNA from 1 species
GACGAACGCUGGCGGCGUGCUUAACACAUGCAAGUCGAACGGAAAGGCCCCUUUCGGGGUCCUCGAGUGGCGCACGGGUGCGUAACACGUGAGUAACCUGCCCUUGACUUCGGGAUAACUUCAGGAAACUGGGGCUAAUACCGGAUCGGAAUCCUUGCUGCAUGGUGGGGGUUGGAAAGCUUCGGCGGUUUUGGAUGGGCUGGCGGCUUAUCAGCUUGUUGGUGGGGUAGUGGCUUACCAAGGCUUUGACGGGUAGCCGGCCUGCGAGGGCGACCGGCCACAUUGGGACUGAGAUACGGCCCAGACUCCGACGGGAGGCAGCAGUGGGGAAUAUUGCACAAUGGGCGGAAGCCUGAUGAAGCAACGCCGCGGGCGGGAUGACGGUCUUCGGGUUGUAAACCGCUUUCAGCAGGGGCGAAGCUUGUGGUGACGGUACCUGCAGAAGAAGCACCGGCUAACUACGUG